rnacentral:tRNA from 1 species
CAAAAUAGCUAUUACAGUGUUCUUAAUGUUAAUAAGAAAGGUGAGGGGG